rnacentral:rRNA from 1 species
AUUGAACGCUGGCGGCAUGCCUUACACAUGCAAGUCGAACGAUCCUUCGGGAUAGUGGCGGACGGGUGAGUAACACGUGGGAACGUGCCCUUUGGUACGGAACAACUCAGGGAAACUUGAGCUAAUACCGUAUGUGCCCUUCGGGGGAAAGAUUUAUCGCCAUUGGAGCGGCCCGCGUCUGAUUAGCUAGUUGGUGAGGUAACGGCUCACCAAGGCGACGAUCAGUAGCUGGUCUGAGAGGAUGAUCAGCCACACUGGGACUGAGACACGGCCCAGACUCCUACGGGAGGCAGCAGUGGGGAAUCUUGCGCAAUGGGCGAAAGCCUGACGCAGCCAUGCCGCGUGAAUGAUGAAGGUCUUAGGAUUGUAAAAUUCUUUCACCGGGGACGAUAAUGACGGUACCCGGAGAAGAAGCCCCGGCUAACUUCGUGCCAGCCGCCGCGGUAAUAC